rnacentral:rRNA from 1 species
GAUUAACGCUGGCGGCGUGCAUAACACAUGCAAGUCGAACGAUGAAACUUAACUGAUUUCUUCGGAAUGAUUUUAAGUGGAUUAGUGGCGGACGGGUGAGUAACGCGUGAGUAACCUGCCUUGGAGAAGGGGAUAGCCUUUGGAAACGAAGAAUAAUACCCUAUGAUAUGAUAAUAUCUCAUGAUAUUAUCAUCAAAGAUUUAUCGCUCUAAGAUGGACUUGCGUCUGAUUAGUUAGUUGGUGAGGUAACAGCUCACCAAGGCAGCGAUCAGUAGCCGGCUUGAGAGAGUGUACGGCCACAUUGGGAAUGAGGCAAGGGCCCGACUUCUAAGGGAGGCCGCAGUGGGGAAAUUUGCAAAAUGGGGGGAACCCUGAUGCCGCGGCGCCGCGUGAUUUAGAAGGCCUUCGGGUUGUAAAAAUCUUUUGUAUGGGAAGAAAAUGACAGUACCAUACGAAUAAGGACCGGCUAAUUACGUG